rfam:Hordeum vulgare subsp. vulgare, WGS project CAJW01000000 data, contig: morex_contig_52032
GUCAUACUCCCUUCGUCCGGAAAUACUUGUCGUAGGAAUGGAUGUAUCUAGAUGUAUUNNAGUUCUAGAUACAUUCAUUUGUAUCUUUUUGUGACAAGUAAUUCCAGACGAAGGGAGUAUUAA